AACGACCUUGGUCUAAAUCAAAGGUCAGCAAGGUUUCUGUAAGGGGCCACAGGUUCCUCCAUCGCAGCCAAUCAACCCUUCGCUGUAGCGUGAACGCAGCUGUGGACAGCACGUGCAGGAACGAGUGUGCCAAUAAAACUUUAUUUAUGACAACAAGCUGUGGGCCACCUGGGCUCUGAAUCCAGCUCAGCUGUAGGGGAUUUUAUAUGGAAACAACCUGCAGACCCUCUCCUUCUUCCCUCCUGGCUUGGCUGGGCCACAUUCCGGGGCUCCAGCCGGGAGCAGGGGAAGCCAGACGCAUGGUCAGGGUGGGACCAGGAAGAGCUUUACCGGCUGGUCAGCGGGAGCCACGGAUUGUCGUGGAUGUGUGCUCAAAUGCCCGUCACCGCCAGAAUGGAUCACUAAAAUCAUGGAGUACUGCAGAGCAGCGAGGACAAGGGAACCCCGGCCACCUGCCACCCCA